rnacentral:antisense_RNA from 1 species
AGCGUGGUACGCUACGGCGGAUACGGCUGUAGAGCGGCCGGCUGGGAUCGUAGAUAGGAGCGGUGGAUUUGCAAGGCCUAGAAUAGCUGGGGAGUGGUUUCCCCGCGGAAUCGGCCUCCCUGCCGCGCCUGCUUUGUACUGUGACGCUCAGCCUGUGAUGACUGGUGUGGAAUCCGCUGAACCACCUUGGCCUAAGGAGACUUUGCCACUCUGAGAUUGUAAAUCUGUAAAAUAGAGAUGUAGGAUUAGCCCAUAGGGUAGUUGUGGUAAAUACUGUGAGACAAUACGGGGCCUGGGACACAGCAUUCAAAUGGGAAUAAUGAAGGUCAAGACUGUGAUUCCUGUAUCUUUGACGCUGUCGGUAUAAGCACCGUCGUGGGCACAGGGCAGUGGCCUUUAUGUAGGAGUUUAAGAGGGAAGGAAGGAAUGAAUGGGCAAACUCUAGAGUUCCCAAGUAUUCUUUCCAGGAGCUGUUUCCAUUCUUUUCGUUUCCAGCAGGUUGGUAAAUUCAUUCAUUUAUUCAUUGAUCUAAUUAAAAUACCUGAGUGCCCCUCACCAGUGCUAGGCCAAUGUGAUACAAUGAGCAGAACAGUCAUGGGCCCUCCCUGGGAAGCCCUCACUAGCCCAAGGACUCCUUGUAGACAUUUAAGUGUCCACAGGCUCUGGAGUUCCAACCUUGACUGCAGUUUAGCAGCUGUGGACCUUGGGCAAGUCAUUACAUCUAAGCCUGUUUUCUCUUCUGCAAAAUGGUUAAGGAUUCAAUAAGAUAAAACUGUAGGCAAUGAAAACCGUACCUGGUAACAGUAGGUGCUGAAGAACUGUUAGCUAUUAAUUUUUGCUUAAUUUUUCUCUCUCUGCUCUAUGUGAUGAAAAGAUUCAAGAGGCAAUUGUUGGAGUGUAAAAAGAGCACGGGACUUGGAGUCAAAUACUUAAGUCUACCAUCAAGUAGUUGUUAAGAAUUAAACAACAAUUUUUGUGUACCCAGUUAAAUGUGGGCUGCUUAGGAAUGAUGACUGUGUCUUAAUGAUCUCUGUAUUCCUAGUGACAUGUAGAAUCAUUGUGCCUGACACAUAGUAUGUACUCAGGAAAGAAAUAGAAAAUGUGGUUUUAGCAUUGAAGGCCAGGAGAGAGGGUCUAACAGACUACAAGCCCCACCAGGAGCAGAGUAAGGGAAACAAAGGAGAAAAAAGUGUUUUUAGUCUGUACUGAAUGUAUUUACACUGUUUGUAGCCCAAAAGCCAAAAGCGUACAUAAGCUUGGCUUUUCUGUAGCUAUGUUUAUGGCUUUACAGCAGAUUUUAUGGAGCUGCAAUUACUUUGAUCAUGAGGGACUGAUGCUAGUGGAUUUACAUCACCAAAUGGAACUCACUCUGUGGCUUCUGAAGAAGGGACCUUUGUGGACUGUCAUGGGGUAGUUAAGAGUGCAGGCUCUGAUUUAGUGAUCAGAGUCUGCAUUGUCAGGAAUGGGACAAAGUGAAGUUAUGUGGCAUUUGAUAGGAUGCCCUGAGAAGAUUGCAACAUCACCCCUGUGAUAUUCCUGCUGAAGAUCCAUAACCUGGAUGUAAUCAUGAGGAUGUAUCAGACAAACCCACAUAAAGACACAUGCUGUAUACAAAACUGUAAUCUUAGAAAGUGCCAAGGUCAUGAACAUCAUAGAUGGACCCUGGAACUGUUCCAAACUGAAGGGGACCAAAGAGCCAUGACAACCAAACACAACACAUGAUUCUGAACUGGAUCUUUUUGCUUGAAAGGAAGUUACAGGGACAAUUGGAAAAGUUUAAAUGGGGCCUACGAUGCCAUGGUAAUGAUGUGUCCAUGUUAAUUUCCUGAUUUUCAUGGUUGCCUGUUAAGUUACAUCAGAGGAUGUUCUUGUUUGUUGGAAAGUAAAUCAAUGUAUUUGGCAGUGGAUAAGGCAUCAAAUGGUCACCUUAAUUUCAAAUUAUUACGGGAAAAAUGUUUCUCUCUGUACUUUUUUUUGUAAUUUCUUACAAUGAAAGCUCUGGAGUAAAAACUUCAAGGAUCCAAA